rnacentral:rRNA from 1 species
GGACUACUGGGGUAUCUAAUCCUGUUUGCUACCCACGCUUUCGCGCCUCAGCGUCAGAAAUUGGCCAGCUUGCUGCCUUCGCCAUGGGUGUUCCUCCUGAUAUCAACGCAUUUCACCGCUACACCAGGAAUUCCACAAGCCUCUCCAAUCCUCCAGCCCGCCAGUAUGUAAAGCAGUUCCCGGGUUGAGCCCUGGGGAUUUCACUUCACACUUAACGAGCCGCCUACGCGCCCUUUACGCCCAGUAAAUCCGGACAACGCUUGCACCCUACGUCUUACCGCGGCUGCUGGCAC